GCCAGUAUGGCAUAGUGGUUUGAGUGUCGGACUAUGACUUUGGAGACUAGGGUUCGAAUCCUGCUCGGCC